CCUACGGGAGGCAGCAGUGGGGAAUAUUGGACAAUGGGCGAAAGCCUGAUCCAGCCAUGCCGCGUGUGUGAAGAAGGCCUUCGGGUUGUAAAGCACUUUCAGUGGGGAAGAAAGCCUUGGGGCUAAUACCCUCGAGGAAGGACAUCACCCACAGAAGAAGCACCGGCUAACUCCGUGCCAGCAGCCGCGGUAAUACGGAGGGUGCGAGAGUUAAUCGGAAUUACUGGGCGUAAAGCGCGCGUAGGCGGUCUGAUAAGCCGGUUGUGAAAGCCCCGGGCUCAACCUGGGAACGGCAUCCGGAACUGUCAGGCUAGAGUGCAGGAGAGGAAGGUAGAAUUCCCGGUGUAGCGGUGAAAUGCGUAGAGAUCGGGAGGAAUACCAGUGGCGAAGGCGGUCUUCUGGACUGCCACUGACGCUGAGGUGCGAAAGCGUGGGUAGCAAACAGGAUUAGAUACCCCAGUAGUC
rnacentral:rRNA from 1 species